rnacentral:rRNA from 1 species
CCUACGGGUGGCAGCAGUGGGGAAUCUUCCACAAUGGGCGAAAGCCUGAUGGAGCAACGCCGCGUGGGUGAAGAAGGUCUUCGGAUCGUAAAACCCUGUUGGUAGAGAAGAACGUGCGUGGGAGUAACUGUUCACGUUUCGACGGUAUCUAACCAGAAAGCCACGGCUAACUCCGUGCCAGCAGCCGCGGUAAUACGGAGGUGGCAAGCGUUAGCCGGAUUUAUUGGGCGUAAAGGGAACGCAGGCGGUCUUUCAAGUCUGAAGUGAAAGCCCUCGGCUUAACCGGAGUAGUGCAUUGGAAACUGGGGGACUGGAGUGCAGAAGAGGAGAGUGGAAUUCCAGGUGUAGCGGUGAAAGGCGUAGAUAUAUGGAGGAACACCAGUGGCGAAAGCGGCUCUCUGGUCUGUAACUGACGCUGAGGUUCGAAAGCGUGGGUAGCAAACAGGAUUAGAUACCCGAGUAGUC